UUCCUUGAAGGUGGUGGUGGUGGCGUAGAUCACAUCCAAGGAAUGUGAUCUAUGGAUCUAAGGAGGCCUGGUCACAGACCGGGCCGCGGGGGCGUUGACCCCCGGAACUCUCUCCAGGUAAACUCCAGGUAUGCCACCUGGAGUGAACUUAUCCUCCCAGGUGGUCCAUGACCCCUACGGGUUGAGCGCUCCACCAUGAGUAGUACAGAUAGUGAAGGUGUAGUAGUGCCAUCUAGUGGUGGUAGUCAGAGUUUGUCAGUUAUCAGUGAUGAUGUUAUAGUGAAGCUCAGGACAGUGACUAAGCACAAGGUCACUAAAAAUCAGUUGAACUUCAGUGGUCGUACAGAAGGUACAUGUCGCUCUUCCUCCUACUGUUCCGCCGGCUUUACCGCUUCCUCGUCCUUUUAUUACACCUAAAUAAGGUGUAGUAACUGAGGAGUGAAGUGUCUGGCUAUGUCUGCUGCAACAUUGAUCAACACAGCAACUUUGACCAGUCUGAGGGGUGGAGACAACUACUAGUAAAUGAUGACUCACAACAUUUAGUGUUAUAUGGAGAUGCAGCAGUUGGAGACGUCGUUAGAGGUGGGCAGGACCCACUUAUAAGCCCAUUGAAAGAUUUGGUUGAUGUCCGCCUGGAGCCUUGCAGUGUCUUCAAUGGAGGACAUUGUCAUGCAGAUUAGUGUCAUCUGCGAAGGAAGACAUGCCACUGUGGCUUAUAUCCCUGUCUGUCCGAUAUGAGGAUGAGGAACAAGAUGGGACAGUGGAAGCAAGAAUGCAUCAAAUGCUCACAGUGCUCUAGUAUUGCCAUCAUUAGUGAUGGCUCAGAGUAGAUGACGUGAGGGCCUGCCAGACGCAUCAUCCUCGUUGGGCCAAAGCAGUCGUGGAAGUUGAGAACCAACAUGAGCGAGACACGAGGACUGUCAAUGUAGCUAUUCAAACUGACUCAUCAUCUCAGUCACCUCCCCUGACACUUCCCUCAACACAUUCCUUAGUGCUCUAAAUGAUACUUGACACCAGUCUGCCUCACUGGAUUGUAAUUAUGAUAACUGGUACUAAUUAGCUUCACUGGUGUGUAAUAACAUUUGAAUUUCAUAUUAACCGUAAACGGUCCAAGCAGAUCUACGUUCACAUGUGUAGUGCUACAAAAGUAGAUCUAAUUUUUUUUUACAUAUUUUCAAAUAUAACAAAAAAAAUAGAUGAAAGUUUUUUUACACAUUUUCAAAUGUAGAAAAACAAAAAGAUCUACUUUUUUUUACAUACUUUCAAAUGUUGAAAAAACGUAUAUGUACGUUUGGACCGUUUACGGGUUAAUACUAAUUAGAAGUAGUGAUUAUAUGACUUGGAUAACUAACAUUAAUGUCCUCUUAAAGUUAUCAGUACACUUAAAAUUGCACUUUCCAUCUGCAUGGAUAAAAAAAAAAGUUGAACUCAUCAGUUACCCAGAGAAUGAAUAUCUGCAAAUUUUGCUUAGGAAAUGUAAGAUGAUAAAGGAUAUCAAUAGAGUACAUAUAAUACCUGAUUAAACUUGUAUUAAUAGUUGGGAAUGUUUAGUGUCAAGGCUCAUUAUUAGCACCUCGUAGCUCAGUGGUAGGAGGAAUGAAUCAAAGGCUUGGGCUUGCACCCAGGCCCCUGGUUCAGUCUUAAACUGGUUGAAGCUCUUGUCUGCCCCUCUUCACAUAGUAAAUAAGUACCUGGGUGUUAGCUAACUUGUGGGUUUCAUCCUGUAGAGUAUCCAUAAACCUUUGAGCUGGGUUAUAGUAUGUGCCUGUAAAUUCAGUACUACUGUAGUAACUGCAGUGUUAAAAAAGUGAGCUGCAAAGAGUGAGAUGAAGAAAGAAGAGAUGCUAAAAUUACAUAGUGAUGCCAUAAUGUAGAAAGAAUUCUUAGCGCCAUCAGCAGGGAGAGCAAAACACCACAUUUACAAAUAAAAGAGGUUGAACUAGAUGAAGUUGUUGUGCUGAGCACCUCUCCAGAGGUGGCCAUCAAGCUCAUUUUUUGGCUGCCUCCACCCAUCUGCUAUCCUUCAUCCCUGUACCACCAAGGUGUAGCCUUGCCGGGCCCACUCUCAAUACAGAGUUAGUGCAAGUUCAUCAGUCAAUGAACCCAGGAUGUAGUGUGGACAGCAAAUAGAGUUGUGGCAAGGCUUGAAACUGGCAUCAUGUGUGUGUAUGAAAGGCAGUACCUCAGGGAAUGGAACAAGCCCAUAAACACAGGACUUCUAUGGGUUUCUUAAUGAGACUAAUCAGCUUGUAGGGGGUGCAAGAGGCACACACGUGACUUGGGGAAGACCUAUUGUUUGUAAGCAAACAGUAAUCCUCAUAGCUAGUAAGACUACCACAUAUUACUUGGUAACCAAAGCCCACAGUGGGCUCUGGUGGCCUGGUGGUUAACGCUCUCGCUUCACACGGUGAGGGCCUGGGUUCGAUUCCCAGCCAGAGUAGAAACAUUGGACGUGUUUCUUUCCACCUGUUGUCUAUGUUCCCCAUCAGUAAAAUGGGUACCUGGGUGUUAGUCGACUGGUGUGGGUCGCAUCCUGGGACACUGACCUAAGGAGGCCUGGUCACAGACCGGGCCGCGGGGGCAUUGACCCCCGGAACUCUCUCCAGAUAAACAGUGGCUUGUAUUCCUGCCUUCUCGGCUAUCUUAAGUCACUCUAUAUACCCUCCUGAUCUCUCCCCAACACACAUUUCUCAUCCUCCAUCUUACCCUCUAUGCUCUCACCACAUAUUUUCCUCUACUCCUUCCAAAUUUCUUGCCUGUCCUUUCAUGUAUUCUCUCCCAUCUCUGUUUCCUCACCUUCCCUGCUUUAAUCCCUUUCUCUUACCUCUCCUUCCCCACACUUUUUUUAGGGGGGGGGGGUCCCUGUAUUUCCUCUUUCCCACAUCUUAAACGACUAAAUCAGCCGUUUGUACAAGUUAAAAUAAAAAUUAAAAAAAAAAAAAUUUUUUUAUUUUUCCUUUUGUAUGUAUAUUAAGUCUCAUAGAAUUGUUGAAAAAAAAAAAUUCAUUCCCAUUUUCUGUUUUGAUAACCUAAGAAAAUAGUCUAGUAUGCAGUUCCUAUAGCUACAGGACUGACUGGGAUCCAAGGUCAAUUACUUGAAUCAAAAAUCUCUAGUCAACAUCAAGGAGCCUCUCAUGAGGGGAAAAAAAAAUUUUUUUUUAGAAUUAUCAGGGGGGAGAAGCACUAAGCCCAUAGGAGAGAGGUUCAAUUUUUUGGAUCAAGGCACCACUUUGAUGCAGACAUUACUAAAGGUGAUGCCUGCACAAGGGCACUUGAAUGGUUUGAAAAACCGACAAGUUGAAGAUUGAGAUACGUAUGGGAAUCUUUAUUCAGGAAACGUUUUGCCACACAGUGGCUUCAUCAGUCCAAUACAAAGGCGUAAGGAGAGGAUGAGUUAAUCAGUCCAUCAAUCUUGUAGAAUAUGUUGAAUAAGUAUCUCAAUCUUCAAAGUAAUUAAUGGCAAGCAGGAAGAGGGUAGUGCUACACCCUCAAUCUGGAGAAAAAUUAUUAUUGAUGCAGACAAAGUAGUGCCUCUCUGGAAAAGUGGCAGCCAAAGGAAUGAGUUUGGGUUAAGAUGCUAAACCCACAAGGGACAUUAAAUUGAGAAGGAUUAUCAGCAAAAGCACUAAGGAUGUGUAUCUGAGGGGGUUCAAAAAUUAAAUUAAUGAGAGAAAACAAAUUCUUACUCCCAAGUUCCAAACUGUAUGGUGAACCAGGCAUUAAAAAAAAUCAAGAGCAAAGGGUCUGUAAUAUAAUAUACUCUACUGCCUCAUGAGAGACAGCAA